rnacentral:rRNA from 1 species
UACGUAGGUGUCGAGCGUUGUCCGGAUUUAUUGGGCGUAAAGAGCCCGCAGGCGGCUUGGCAAGUUUGGGGUGAAAUCUCCCGGCUCAACUGGGAGGGUGCCCUGAAAACUGUCAGGCUUGAGUCAUGGAGAGGGAUGUGGAAUUCCAGGUGUAGUGGUGAAAUGCGUAGGUAUCUGGAGGAACACCAGUGGCGAAGGCGGCAUCCUGGCCAUGUACUGACGCUCAGGGGCGAAAGCGUGGGAGCAAACCGG